UGAAGAAAUCAAGGAAACAAGCUAGUGAGACGUCCGGAAAAGGCAAAGGAAUUGCGCUUGAGGACUAUUAGUCCGAGUGCACCCGGAAUCUGGAUUUUCGAUAUCGAUCAGGUGACUGUUGGACCUAGAUCGAGGAGUCCUCGUAGUGCAUCUCGUGGGUAUGUGGCUGGCAUUCGAUAGUAAUCUCUUUUAUUGUAAAUGUCUCUACUGAAAAUCAUGGGUCAUUUUGUAUUGUGAAUACAAUCUAAUAAUGUGAAUAUGUGUAUGCAAUGUAAAUUGCUAAAUACAUGACUAGUA